rnacentral:rRNA from 1 species
CCAAUAGCGUAUAUUAAAGUUGUUGCAGUUAAAAAGCUCGUGGUUGAAUUUCGGGGUUCUACCGUUGGUCGGGCUAUUGUCUGUACUGGUGUGUAGAAUUUCUACCUUCUGGGGAACCAUCAUGUUAUUAAUUUAGCGUGGUGGGAAACCAGGACCUUUACCUUGAAAAAAUUAGAGUGUUCAAAGCAGGCUUACGUCUGAAUACAUUAGCAUGGAAUAAUAAAAUAGGACGGUGGUCCUGUUUUGUUGGUUUCUGAAUCACCGUAAUGAUUAAUAGGGAUAGUUGGGGGCAUUAGUAUUCAAUUGUCAGAGGUGAAAUUCUUGGAUUUAUUGAAGACUAACUUCUGCGAAAGCAUUUGCCAAGGAUGUUUUCAUUAAUCAAGAACGAAAGUUAGGGGAUCGAAGACGAUCAGAUACCGUCGUAGUCUUAACCAUAAACUAUGCCGACUAGGGAUCGGACGAUGUUAAUUUUUCUUGACUCGUUCGGCGCCUUACG